GUAGAACUUCUGUUUUUAAUAUUUAAAAAGCCACAUCUCACAAAACUAUGGCUUAUAACGGAUUUAUAGAAGAAUACUUUGAGGCUGGAAAUAUGCAUGACUAGAACUUAUGUGACUAGAAUUCUUUGUUGUCUAGCUGUGAUUGCUUUGGCUCUGACCUCGAGGAAUGAAUGUUUUCUGACUUCUGCGUAAAGGCUAGAAGACAAAGAAGAGGUGAGAGAAUGUGUGUUCUGUCAGCAGCUAAGAGCACAGAUCUGGUUACUGAUCAAGACUGAAGCGAGGCUGAGAAAAUGCAGAACUGAGGUAAAAAGUUCCAGGAAACACUGUGAGUCCUGUCACGAUGUUUUGUGGUAUUUCAUAUGCUUAGAAAAAGGUGAACCUGAGGUGAAUAUGAAAAAGGUAAAGGCUUAGUUUAAUCUGAGAAACAGAAAACUAAAGCAAAAUAUGAAUUUUUGUUUUUAGGGUAAUAUAAAUGACUUUUUGCUUUUGUUGAAAAGAAGAACCAUUAGUUAAUUGGAAUUUGGGGCACACUUUGGG
rnacentral:lncRNA from 1 species